AUGAGGAGUGGCUUUAUAUCCACGCUCUGUACAUGGGACAGUUUCUGUUAUUUCUCCAGCAUCUAUAAUAUAAGUGCUGUCAGGAUAGCAUCAUCAAACAUUCACUUAACACAGGGUGGUCAGAUCCAUAGUCCUGGCAGUGACAGCACCUUUCCGAGAGGGUCUGAACUUGCUCAGGCAGAGGUGGGGCUCGUAGAGCUCCCUCACCCUGGGCAAGUGUGGUCUUCCCAAGCAAGGUCUGAGGAUCUUCCUUGUGGUGGGGCAGAGGGAUGCCUGGCUGCAUCAUCAGCUCUCGCUGAGCGCUAUGGAGGGAUGCACCUGUCAGGCAAGGCGGGACAGUCCGGGGCACCUACAGAAGAGCAGCUCAGAGAAACCCAAGUGACGCUUGAAGGAGCCUCCUGGGACCAGGGGACCUGCUCUGCGGCAACCCCCGCCCGCUGUCCUUCUCCCAGAGCUGCAGCUGCGGCUGCUUUAACCGGGCCGGGGGGGUCUUGGCAGCCCCGCCGACGUGGCGGGCAUCAGCUGACCGCGCCGGGCUCUGCCUCCUCCCGGGCCGCCCGCCCGCAGCUCCACUCCGGCGGCGGCGGCGGCGGCAGCAGCGGCGGCUCCGCCGUGCUCGUCCCGCGGCUCCCGGGACAGCAUCCGCCGCCAGCUCCCCGCAGCGCCUCAGGAACCGCGCUCCCUGCGCUUUGCCCUUGCCCCUUCCUGCUGCUGCUCCUCCUCCUCCUCCCUGCCGCCGGGGAAGCCCCUGAGCCGGAGCACUGCCUGCCCCGGCCCGCGGAGAAGUUGGGAUAUUCCCAUCUGGCUGCCCAGAGCUCCGAGUUUAGGGCGGGAUUUUCAUUCCCCGCUCUUUCGAUUUUUUUAGAUUUGGGUUUUGAUGUGAUUUUUUUCCCCUCCUCCUUUCUUUCUUUUUUUCCCUCCCUUUUUUUUCCCUCCCUUAUUUUUCCCGUUGCCAAGCAAGCCGAGUGUCUGCGAUGGAUGGGAGCCCCGAGUCCCCCCCGGGCAGAGACGCUCCGUGAGCCAGGGGCAUGCCCCGCCGCCGGGGGAAAGCGGGCGGGCAGCCCCCGGCCGGCGGCUCCUGCGCCGUGA
rnacentral:lncRNA from 1 species